rnacentral:lncRNA from 1 species
GAGGGAUGAGAUUUGGGUAGAGGAACAGGGAGAGGGAUGCAGGGGGGUAAGAUAUUCUAUGAUUAUAAUAUGAUUAUUUUAUGCUUUGAUUAUUGUGUUUAACGCCAGGCGAGGCCUAGGUUGGCAUCGUGAAAUGGAAGAGCUUUUGAAGUGUGAAUGCACUGUUUGUUGUAGCAGCAACAGCAGCAUGAAAAUGGUUACCUAGUUUCAUUUUCCACCAAAUUCACAUUUAUGGAACAGGGAUUGACUUCUGGGCAGGUCAUUUCUCUCGUCAAACAGAAUGAGUUUAGUGACCUUUAGUGAAGGGAAGGUACUGGGAUGUCUGGUCUGUUCAGCAGGGUUUAUGGUCCGUGCUGUCCUUGCUCCUUGGGACCUCCCUACCCCAUUGAAGUUGGCAUUUUAAAAUACUUUAGGUUAAGGUAACAGUAGGGAUUAAGGUUAGGGUUAAGGUAACAGUAGGGAUUAGGGUUAGGGUUAAGGUAACUGUAGGGAUUAAGGUUAGGGUUAAGGUAACUGUAGGGAUUAAGGUUAGGGUAACAGUAGGGAUUAAGGUUAGGGUUAAGGUAACUGUAGGGAUUAAGGUUAGGGUAACAGUAGGGAUUAAGGUUAGGGUUAAGGUAACUGUAGGGAUUAAGGUUAGGGUAACAGUAGGGAUUAAGGUUAGGGUAACAGUAGGGAUUAAGGUUAGGGUUAGGUUUAGGGUAACAGUAGGGGUUAAAGUUAGGGUUAGGGUAACAGUAGGGAUUAAGGUUAGGGUUAGUUUAGGGACAUCCCAAGGAUCCCAGAUAGCACUGACCCAAGGUUUACAGUAACAAGGAAGUGCUGGUCGGUGACUGUUGGGUCAGAGUAGGGAAAUCACUUCAGUUUAAAUGGGUAUAAAAUACAGGAUAUACUGUAUGUAAUGUAGGCCACAUACGGACCGUUUCCACCAUCUCUCGCUGGGUGUGUGUGUGUCAUCAUUGUUUGAGAGCUUCCUGUGGCUCAGUUGGUAGAGCAUGGAGUUUGCAACGCCAGCAUGGUGUGUGCAACGCCAGGGUUGUGGGUUCGAUUCCCA